GGCGCGGUAAUAUGUAGGUGGCGAGCGUUGUCCGGAUUUACUGGGCGUAAAGGGUGCGUAGGCGGAUGUUUAAGUGGGAUGUGAAAUCCCCGGGCUUAACCUGGGGGCUGCAUUCCAAACUGGAUAUCUAGAGUGCAGGAGAGGAAAGCGGAAUUCCUAGUGUAGCGGUGAAAUGCGUAGAGAUUAGGAAGAACACCAGUGGCGAAGGCGGCUUUCUGGACUGUAACUGACGCUGAGGCACGAAAGCGUGGGUAGCAAACAGGAUUAGAUACCCUGGUAGUCCACGCCGUAAACGAUGGAUACUAGGUGUAGGGGGUAUCAACUCCCCCUGUGCCGCAGUUAACACAAUAAGUAUCCCGCCUGGGGAGUACGGUCGCAAGAUUAAAACUCAAAGGAAUUGACGGGGGCCCGCACAAGCAGCGGAGCAUGUGGUUUAAUUCGAAGCAACGCGAAGAACCUUACCUGGACUUGACAUCCCUUGCAUAGCCUAGAGAUAGGUGAAGCCCUUCGGGGCAAGGAGACAGGUGGUGCAUGGUUGUCGUCAGCUCGUGUCGUGAGAUGUUAGGUUAAGUCCUGCAACGAGCGCAACCCUUGUUAUUAGUUGCUACCAUUAAGUUGAGCACUCUAAUGAGACUGCCUGGGUAACCAGGAGGAAGGUGGGGAUGACGUCAAAUCAUCAUGCCCCUUAUGUCCAGGGCUACACACGUGCUACAAUGGUAGGUACAAUAAGACGCAAGACCGUGAGGUGGAGCAAAACUUAUAAAACCUAUCUCAGUUCGGAUUGUAGGCUGCAACUCGCCUACAUGAAGCUGGAGUUGCUAGUAAUCGCGAAUCAGAAUGUCGCGGUGAAUACGUUCCCGGGCCUUGUACACACCGCCCGUCACACCAUGAGAGCUGGUAACACCCGAAGUCCGUGAGGUAACCGUAAGGAGCCAGCGGCCGAAGGG
rnacentral:rRNA from 1 species